rfam:Xanthomonas campestris pv. campestris str. ATCC 33913, complete genome.
AGGCGAAGUGACGCGCCACCGGCCGCACCAGGACGCGGCCACUGAACGGCGGACUACCUCGUCGGGUCCGCCGUUUUUUU